ensembl:snRNA U6 U6 spliceosomal RNA
GUGCUUACUUCGGCAGCCCAUAUGCUAAAAUUGGAAUGAUACAGAGAAGAUUAGAAUGGCCCCUGUGAAGGGAUGACAUGCAAAUUCAUGCAGUGUUCCAUAUUAAA